UCCCGGCGCUCCCUCCGCAGCUCCGCUCGACCCCGAUCCCCGAAGGCUCCGCGCCGUGCCUCCGCGCCCCGCCUCCAUGCCUCCGCGCCGCAGCCGCUGCCUGCCUCCGCGCGCGCGCCUCCGGCUGCCACCAAACCCUACCUGCUGCUGAAAUCCCGCUCGAGCGCACCGCCGCCGCACCCCAAAAUCUCCGCUCGAGCGCGCCGCAGGCGCAUCCUUCUCUGAUCCCUUCCCGCUAGAGCACGCUGCUACCCCCAAUCCCUUCCUGCUCGAGCUCCCACCUAGCCAAAUCCAUCCACAGGCUCUCCUCCAAUCCCUUCCUGCUCGAGCUCCCGCCCAGCCAAAUCCAUCCACAGGCGCUCCUCCAGCCCAAUGCCCCAAUCCCAUCCUCCCCAACGCAGCUUCUCUCUCUUCCCCAGCCCAAAUCAAUUCCGUCGCUGCUCUGUCCCCAAUCCUCUCAUUGCUAGCUUUGUCCCCAAAUCCUAUAGUCUGCUCCAUUAUCUACUGCUGAGAGCCAUGGAGAGCUAGGAGGCGUGUCCUGGGAGGAGGAGGGAAGGAGUUGUGUUGGGAGGCAAGGAGUUGCAUCGAUCUGGGAGGAAGGACUGGGGCGGCUGGCGAGCUCGCUGCAGCUACGGCUCGUCCUCCGACGGCGACGACGCCUCGGCCGCCAACGGAGAGGAGUUCGUCGACUCCAACGUCAUCGAGGCUGUUGAGCUCAGGAGCGUAUCAGAUAGUUUUGAGAUAAAAAUGCAUGACGGCAAAAACUUGAGAUGAAGAGGACACCAUUAGCUUUGACCUCAAGCCAUCAGAUGCUAUCAACAUUGCUUUCCGGUGCAAGGUAUGCAUUCGCUUCCUCACUUUUCACAGUAUAUCUUGACAAUAUUUGUUUGAAUGAUAACUACUGUUGAUACUGAAAGUGUUGUUUAACAUAUGCGUGUUAACCAUACGAGUGUUAAAACACUCUGUUGAAGAAUCUAAGCAACAACAGUUAAGCAACCA